rnacentral:lncRNA from 1 species
UAAUUCCAAGAUUAAAUAAAUAUAUAAUUAAUAUUUGAUUAUGUGGAUUUAUUGACCAAUCAGAAAUUGACAUGUGGAAAAUCUACAUAAAAUAUUAAAUAUUUUAUGUAGAUAAAUACAAAUAUUGAGGAGCCAAUCAAAUCGCGCCACCUCAGCCCUAAAAGCCCAAUAUGACAGGCCAAGCCCACAGCCCACUCCAUUCUUCACCUAUAAAUAUGGGUCAUUUGUGGAGUCAAAAGGGACAGAAAUCAUUUUGAGAGCUCAAGCAUUGAAGGAGUAAUUCUCUACGACGAAGUCAUCUCCAACAAUCAAGGCGUUCUACAAGGAAGUCAACGAGUUCUUCAUCAAAUUCAUCCAAGUCAACGUUUGAUUCAGAAAUAAGGUGGAAGCCCUCUGGAUUGACGUUAUCAAAUCAAAUUCAAGCCAACAUUCAAAUCAAAGGAGAUCAAGAAGGUGUACUUCCCUCCAAAGAUUUGAAGAAAUUCGAAGAGGAUAAUCAGAGGAUCAAAUAGAGAAUCGCAACCUGCAACAAAUUCAUUUCAAUCCAUAUAUAUUUUGGAUUUGUACACAUUUUUGUAUUUCAUUUAUUGAAUACAAUAAAAUUUGUGUUUACAAAUUUUGGCACGCCCAGUGGGACUUCUCUACCUCUCAUCUCUCCUCUUCACCAACAACAACUCAAGCAAAUUCAAAUGGAGAACAAAGCUUCAAGUGCUGCUCUAAACAUCACUUUGGAGAACAUUGGUGUUAUCACUCGAGGCAAAGCUAGGCUAUUGGAGGAAAUUUCCAAGUCUGCUUCAGCAAGGGAGGAGUAUUCAGCCGCUAGCUACUCUCUUGAAGCUCCCGUCAUGGUGACAAAUGCUUCUACUCUGGAGGAACAAAUUGCUGGCCUAGCUAAGCUUGUUGAAAACAUGAACAAGCAUAUAUUGGAGCAAGACGCCAAGAUCUCAAAGCUCAUCUUAGAGAAAGGAGAAGGAAGUCGAGUGAAUGACGAGAAAGAUGAAGAAAGCGAUGAUUCAGAGUCAUUCGAAAAGCACCGCGAAGAAAAGACACCUCCUAAGAACAUCGAAGUCUCUGCCGAUGGUUUCAUUCAGAUUGAUCAACUCAAGGAGUUUAUUGAAGGAACGAUGAAGGCUAGUGCUAACUCGAAGUCAUCCAUGAUCUACUCUAAGCCUUAUACUAAAAGAAUUGAUCAAUUAAAGAUGCCUCUUGGCUAUCAACCUCCCAAGUUUCAACAAUUCGAUGGAAAGGGCAAUCCUAGACAGCAUGUGGCUCAUUUUGUGGAAACGUGCAAUAAUGCUGGCACCUAUGGAGAUCAUUUGGUCAAGCAAUUUGUUCGCUCACUCAAGGGAAAUGCUUUUGAUUGGUAUACAGACUUAGAGUCAAACUCGAUUGAUAGUUGGGAACAACUGGAGCACGAAUUCCUCAAUCGCUUUUACAGCACUAGAAGAACUGUCAGCAUGGUGGAACUUACCAGUUCUCGUCAAUUCAAAGAAGAGCCGGUGAUUGACUACAUCAAUCGGUGGAGAAAUCUUUGCCUCAACUGCAAGGAUCGAUUGUCUGAAUCGUCUGCCAUCGAAAUGUGUAUUCAAGGGAUGCAUUGGGGUUUACAAUACAUCUUGCGAAGAGAUAGUAGUUGAAGAGGAUAAUGCACGCUUGCACCUCAAAGAAUUGGAAGCUUUGGAUGAGAAGAGAUUAGAAGCUCAACAAAGAUUGGAAUACUAUCUAACCCAUCUCUCAAAAGAAGUCUACGCCAAUGGGGCAUAUAAAUUGCUCUCGGAAGACAAUAUGAGAGUUGGACCCAUAAAUGGGAAGUUCUUGAAGCGCUACUAUCCUUAAAAGGUGGUGGAAAUUGAAGCAUGUGCAUAUGUAUAUAUAUAAAAAAAAAAAAAAAGACAAAAAAAAAAAAGAAAAAAGAAAAGCCAAAAAAAAAGAGGUAGGAAAAAAAAAAAAAAAGUAAAAAAAAACGUAAACGAAACGAAACGAAACGAAAAGUAAAAGNUCUCCAAAAAAAAAACUCCAAGCAAAACUCCUUGAUUGAUGGGUGCAAGGCUCCAACAGCUCCAAGCAAAACUCCUUAAUUGAUGGGUGCAAAGCUCCAAAAACUCCAAGCAAAGCUCCUUGAUUGAUAGGUGCAAAAGCUCCAAAGAUACCAAGCAAAGCUCCCUAAAUUGACGCAUGCAAAAUCUCCAACUCCUAAAAAAAAAAAAAAAAAGAAAAAAAAGAAAAAGCCUGGUCAGGAACGCACGCAGCAGAAAGAACUUCAAGAAAACAAAAUCCUCUUUCGAGCAAUUUGUCGAACACAUGGCAUGCAGAAACGAAAAAAAGGUGAUUUUCUCACAGCAAUGGAAAGAAGAAUUCACCAAGAUUUCAACACCAAUGCUGUCAAUGAAAGACAACCGAAAGAAGAAGAGGAUUUCUGCAAUUCAAGCUUGAGUUUGAAGAAAAAUAUGAGCUUUAACACCUUUAUAUAGGGGUGUUUCCUAUGUUGAAUAGAAGUCUAUUCCCACUGAACUACUUGGAGGUAACCUCCGAAUUCUUAUCAGAAUUAAUAGGUGAUAACUCCAAAUACACUGAAAUUCGGAGUCAGGAUUAGCUCAAUGAUUUCAUAUUUAUGGAUAAUCAUGAGUUGGUCAUUGCUGCGUACGUACAUUCACAACAUGGAUAAAUAUGAGAUGUUACUGUUCUGAUAAGAUUAAUGGUUAUCCAGAUGGGAGAGAAAUUGAAACAACAAAGAAAUCGUGUCAUUGGAGAAGUCUGAAAGCGAAAGGCUUUGCAAGCUAUCCUUCUGUACAUUCGCGUCAAGAUGGAAGUCUGUAGGUGCCUUCAAAUUACUUAAAGAAAAGAAAUGCUAUUAAGUGGGCCUCUGAUUUUCGACCAUCAAGGCUUAAUAGGGCCCAAACCUGACUUUGUUAAAUUGAUGAAGAAAGUUAACCACUAAAGUUGGUUGAUUUUGAUUUAAUAAAUGUUAUGUUGCCCAAUUUUUGGCUCAAAUGGAAAUGAUUCAUUGACCUACGUGGCUUUGGUAUAAAUCAAAUGGACUAUAGCUUGAUUGUUGGCCAAAGACAAGUUUGAUUUUCGAAAAUUAUUAGUAGAAAUAAAAGCAUUUCUUCAAUUAUAUUUGGGGCAAAGUUCAAUUGAUACGAAAUGAACUAUUACAAUUAAUGGUCUCAUUUUUGAAUUAAGUUUGAAUCCAAAUUCAAGAACUCCUAAAUACGAGUAUAAACUAUUUACUAAGUCAAAGCCAAAUUCAAAAACUCCUAAAUAUGAGUAUAAACUAUUUACAAAGUCAAGUUCAAAUUCAAAUUCAAGAACUCCUAAAUAUGAGUAUAAACUAUUUACAAAGUUAAAUUCAAAUUCAAAUUCAAGAACUCCUUAAUAUGAGUUUAAACUAUUAAAUAAGUUCGAGACUCGUCCAUUUCCAAAGACAAGAUGUCCAUGAACAAGUCUCGAUGUGGCAAUUUGUAGGCAAUUAAAUUUAUAGCAUAUUAAAUCCUGCCAUGUGGAAAUUAUAAAUUAAAUAUGAAAUUAUAUAUUUUAUUUUAUAUUUUGGAAUUAAAUUAAAUAUUAUUUCAAGAUUAAAUAAAUAUAUAAUUCAUAUUUGAUUAAGUGGAUUUAUUGACCAAUCAGAAAUUGACAUGUGGAAAAUCUACAUAAAAUAUUUAAUAUUUUAUGUAGAUAAAUACAAAUAUUGAGGAGCCAAUCAAAUCGCGCCACCUCAGCCCUAAAAGCCCAAUAUGACAGGCCAAAGCCCACAGCCCACUCCAUUCUUCACCUAUAAAUAUGGGUCAUUUGUGGAGUCAAGGGGGACAGAAAUCAUUUGAGAGCUCAAGCAUUGAAGGUGUAAUUCUCUACGACGAAGUCAUCUCCAACAAUCAAGGCGUUCUGCAAAGAAGAUCAAAGAGUUCUUCAUCAAAUUCAUCCAAGUCAACGUUUGAUUCAGAAAUAAGGUGGAAGCCCUCUGGAUUGACGCUAUCAAAUCAAAUUCAAGUCAACAUUCAAGUUCAAGGAGAUAAAGAAAUUAUAUUUCCCUCCAAGGAUUUGAAGAAGCUUGAAGAGGAGAAUCAGAGGAUUAAAGUAGAGAAUCGCAACCCGCAUCAAAUUCAUUUCAAUCCACAUAUUUUGGAUUUGUA